GGAUGCGAGGGUGAUUGGGCUGCGACAUCUGUCACCCCAUUGAUCCGGCUGGCUAGACGGGUGUCCCUUUCCUUCCUCACUGCUCUGUGUGUGUCCCUCCCAAAGCUGCACCCUUGAUCAAAGAGGAUGACCUUCCCCGAUAAAGGAAGACCAUUCUUGAGUCAAGGAUAUAGGAGUAGCUGCAUUCCCCUGCUAGAAACUUCCAAACAAGCUCUCAAGGUCCAUUAGUAGGAGUAUGUAGUAUAGUCAAGAUUCCGAGACUCCAGACACAUCCAAAUGAGGCACUGGUGGUGGCAGUCUGUUUUUCUUU
rnacentral:snRNA from 1 species